ACAGAGCUUGAAUGGUAGGAUCGAGUCUUUGAUGUCACACAAAGCAGCUGCAGUCUGCCCUAAAGAGGCUUCCUUUGGGCAAUUAUUAUUUUAUUUGUAACAUCGUGUGUUACCAGAAACCCCAGUCAGGAGCAAGGCUUCUCCGUGCCAGGCUGUACAAGCAGUGAACAAAAGGCGUGCUCUCGGGAAGUGCCAGUGAGCUGCUGGAGCAGUGUUAGGCGCUGGGCUGGAGGAACAUGAAACCUCGUGCAAGUGAGAAAGCCAGGUGCGGGAGAUGUAGUUAAAAGGAAGGUGCGUGUCACUGCUGAUGUGUAAUUACAUUUUCCAGACAGAGCAGAGGGAGAAUUGAAAGUGAUGUGAGACUCUCUGAUACAUAGGUAACUUCCAGAUCUGCUGGUAGACGUCAUCUUCACCAUACAUGCGCUUGAAAUGAGAUCAGGCUUUUUUUUUUUUAAUAGCAUUUAGAAUUUUUUUCAUGUGCAUUUGCAUUUUGAGAGCCAGGAUCAUAACAGACCUCUGCAAAAUCCUGAUUUAUAGAAGUGCGUACUUCUGCAGUCUCUGUAUUUAAUGUCCUUUCGUCUUGUACCGUUGCAUAUUUGUCCAUUAUCUUUUUCAAGUGAGAUGAAGCUAUAACGUACUGGAGCAUUUUCUUUAGGAUUUUAUUAAAUAAUCAGUGUACAAAACCACAUUAGCAUUUUCAGUUUGACAAGUGCCAUGCUCAGACCCAAAUGUGUCACACACAGAGGAGGAGACACAGCAGCACUUUACCUGUGCUCCUGUUUUUUUGCUCAUGGACAUCCCAGCAGUCUCAUUCAGAGUACACACAUUCACACACGUGUUAUAAUCCUCUUUCUGUGAGACUGCGUACUGCCCUUUUGCAUACGUGAUGAAUGAUCUGAGGGAUCUACUGGCGUUUUCUCAGAUUUGUUUCUCUACCAUUUGGGAAAUCUUCAUAGUUUUCUAAGGUGACUGAUUUUUACGUGGUUUAUGGUGUACCAGUAGGCUCGUGUAGGUGCAACACUGGGACACUCAGCAAUGUGAGGACCGCCCAGGAAAUAACAUUUAUUAGUAAUUUAAUUUCAGGCUGUCAGUAGGGGGAACUAUUGCACCACACUUUUUCUUUAUCCUUUAAAUAAAUAUUGAUGGCUAUUUAUUUUCCUUUUGGAUUAAGUACUUAUUUUCUAAGCAUCCUUUCAGAACCGAUAUCCAUAAUGGUCAGAAGACAGGUAGCUCAUGCCAUCGCAGUAAAUAAAAGAGUAACAGGGAUCCAGUCCCUCUGAUUUUUGCUUGGCCCUCUCCACUAACCUAGAAAAGCAGCUUUAUGAUGGAGCGGUUGCUAUUAAGAUAAUGUUGUGCUGCUUGCUAUCUGCUGCCAGUAUCUAUUCAGGUUUGCUUCAAGAGCCGGUGAGAAAAAGAAUCAGGUAAGUGUCAUUCCCCAAAACUAGGGUAAUGAGAGGCUGCUCCUCACAUGAGGUUUGGAGAGAUCGGUGUUUGGGAAGAGGGGUCCUCCAUCCCUGCCCCGCUCUGUGGCACAUGCUAUGGGGAAGGCAGGAUGAUGGCCUAAAAUGGGGACAGCUGUGGGGCCAGACAGGCAGGUGUGGAGCGGAGGGACAGAGGUAAAAAGCCUGGGGCAGCCCUGGGGUGAGAGGGAGUUUCGUGAGGGACAUCCAGGCACAACAGCGUGGUGAGGCUGCAGCCCUCGGCUGGAGGUGGCUAGGAGCAUGGGUGGGAACUGGCCAGCGAAAGGUUCAAGCCCUCGUUGAGUGUGACUCCUCUCGCGGACCGAAUUACCACGGGCACAGUACUUGGAAGGAGGCCGUGGUGAAAUGGUGGAGCACAGCUCGACAGGAAAGGUGGUGUUAAGACAUCAUGGCUUUGGUAUUUGGUGCUCUGGGCAAAGACUUGCAAGACCAGGAAAAGAAAAUUACCUAGCUGAUUAAAAUGUUUAGCUCAAAUCUGCAAGGAUCAAGGCUCCUCGAGACGCUGAGCUCUGCAAAGGGAAACUGAAUGUCUGUGGCAACUGGUGUGCUCCUCCCAGACCUAGCUGUGCCUCUGUGGUGUGACCUC